rnacentral:rRNA from 1 species
AUUGAACGCUGGCGGCAGGCCUAACACAUGCAAGUCGAGCGUGAAAGUCCUUCGGGAGUGAGUAAAGCGGCGGACGGGUGAGUAACGCGUAGGAAUCUACCUAAUAGUGGGGGAGUAACGUUUCGAAAGGAACGCUAAUACCGCAUACGUUCUGAGGAAGAAAGCAGGGAUCGUAAGACCUUGCGCUAUUAGAUGAGCCUGCGUCCGAUUAGCUAGUUGGUGGGUAAAGGCCUACCAAGGCGACGAUCGGUAACUGGUCUGAGAGGAUGAUCAGUCACACUGGAACUGAGACACGGUCCAGACUCCUACGGAGGCAGCAGUGGGAA